rnacentral:rRNA from 1 species
AGUGAACGCUGGCGGCAGGCCUAACACAUGCAAGUCGAACGGCAGCACAGUGGAGCUUGCUCCAUGGGUGGCGAGUGGCGGACGGGUGAGGAAUACAUCGGAAUCUGCCCAGUCGUGGGGGAUAACAUAGGGAAACUUAUGCUAAUACCGCAUACGACCUACGGGUGAAAGCGGGGGAUCGCAAGACCUCGCGCGAUUGGAUGAGCCGAUGUCCGAUUAGCUAGUUGGCGGGGUAAUGGCCCACCAAGGCGACGAUCGGUAGCUGGUCUGAGAGGAUGAGCAGCCACACUGGAACUGAGACACGGUCCAGACUCCUACGGGAGGCAGCAGUGGGGAAUAUUGGACAAUGGGCGCAAGCCUGAUCCAGCCAUGCCGCGUGGGUGAAGAAGGCCUUCGGGUUGUAAAGCCCUUUUGUCCGGAAAGAAAAGCCUCGGAUUAAUACCCUGGGGUGAUGACGGUACCGGAAGAAUAAGCACCGGCUAACUACGUGCCAGCCGCCGCCGUAAAAC